AUUGAACGCUGGCGGCAUGCUUUACACAUGCAAGUCGAACGGUAACAGGGAGCUUGCUCCGCUGACGAGUGGCGAACGGGUGAGUAAUACAUCGGAACGUGCCCAGUAGUGGGGGAUAACUACUCGAAAGAGUGGCUAAUACCGCAUUAGAUCUACGGAUGAAAGCAGGGGAUCGCAAGACCUUGCGCGACUAGAGCGGCCGAUGGCAGAUUAGGUAGUUGGUGGGGUAAAAGCCUACCAAGCCGACGAUCUGUAGCUGGUCUGAGAGGACGAUCAGCCACACUGGGACUGAGACACGGCCCAGACUCCUACGGGAGGCAGCAGUGGGGAAUUUUGGACAAUGGGCGCAAGCCUGAUCCAGCAAUGCCGCGUGCAGGAUGAAGGCCUUCGGGUUGUAAACUGCUUUUGUACGGAACGAAAAGCUCUGGGUUAAUACCCUGGGGUCAUGACGGUACCGUAAGAAUAAGCACCGGCUAACUACGUGCCAGCCGCCGCCGUAACAC
rnacentral:rRNA from 1 species